UACGUAGGGGGCAAGCGUUGUCCGGAUUUAUUGGGCGUAAAGAGCGUGUAGGCGGCUAGAUAGGUCCGUUGUGAAAACUCGAGGCUCAACCUCGAGACGCCGAUGGAAACCCCCCAGCUAGAGUCCGGAAGAGGAGAGUGGAAUUCCUGGUGUAGCGGUGAAAUGCGCAGAUAUCGGGAGGAACACCGGUGGCGAAGGCGGCGAUCUGGGUCGAUACUGACGCUGAGGUGCGAAAGCGUGGGGAGCAAACAGG
rnacentral:rRNA from 1 species